UCUUCGAGUUUCUCUCUUCGCCGCCAGCUUCUGAUUGCGCUUGGUCUCUCUACGAUGAUUUGAAAUCUCAAUUUUGAGUGAUUUUGGAGCUUCAAUCAACAGCUUUCUUCUCUUUUUCCUAUCUCUGGCUUCGUCACUCUUCCCCGUGAUCACGUCACUUCUUCUUUUUCUUCCUGUACUCAGUCCUCAAUUACAAAAAGGUUGACUGAGACCGUGAGAUUGGAGGCAUAUGAGACUAUGACUUCAUCUGUAUCACUCUUUCCCUAUUCAAGCAUGCACGCGAUUAGAUAUCCCGAACGGUUUUCCAAUCCACGACCGGUAUUGGAAUUUCAUCUUUAAUCAAGAUGAUAAUGGAUUCAUAUGCCAAUGAUGCGGAUGUCUUAAGAACAAAUAAAAGAUACGAGAGAUGGAAAGUAAAAUAAAAUCAUUGCAGGAAAAGGCUCGUAUAGCUGCAGAGUCUGUAGGCUCUUAUAUCAGUAUCCUUCUUUCUUUGUCUUAAGCAUUACUGAUGUUAUUUUAGCAAUUGGAGGUUUUGAUUAUUGACAAUAUUUUCCAUGGUUGUCAUCACUAGGAUAGACAGUGGUUGCUUGAUAUAAUAGCUUUUGUACUAAGGAAAGAGAAUUAAUUACAUAUUUUGAUAUUGAACAGCUUGAUCUUUGACAACUUUAGCUUACCAGGAAGUAAUAGCUCUGUAUAAGGCAAUCAAGACACUCCAAAGGCAACUAUUUAAUCCUUGUUACAUCUAUUUGAUCCCAACUUGGGAGGGGAUUAUAGAGUGCUCUGUAAAGAAUGUGGAGUUUAGUUGCCUUGGCAUUAUGAUCUUCAAAUGCAAGGCUCUCUUUCUCUAUAUAUUCUUUUUCUCGGUGUGUUUUUGGCUCAUACUCCAGCAUAUGCAGAGAUUGUCUUGAAUUUUCCAUAUAAGCUCUUCGGGAAAUGCACGAGGAGUCCGCUUAAUAUCACACCUGUGAACACAUCUGGAUUUGUACAAAGCCAUAGCAAAAAUUAGUUUCAAGAAAAGUAUAGCUCUCUUGUCUAGUUAUAGGCUCAAAUUAGUAGGAUUUUUUUUUCAUCUCAUCAUUGUAUAUAUUUGUAUCAGGAGUGGUAUAUCUAAUUUGUCCCUAUAUA